GACGAACGCUGGCGGCGUGCCUAAUACAUGCAAGUCGACCUUAGUGGCGAACGGGUGAGUAACACGUUGGUAACCUGCCCAUCCGAAGGGGAUAACACUUGGUACCAGGUGCUACUACCGUAUACUGAUGGAUUGACCCGCGGUGCAUUAGCUAGUUGGUGAGGUAAAGGCUCCCCAAGGCCACGAUGCAUCGCCGACCUGAGAGGGUGAUCGGCCACAUUGGGACUGAGACACGGCCCAAACUCCUACGGGAGGCAGCAGUAGGGAAUCGUCGGCAAUGGACGAAAGUCUGACCGAGCAAUGCCGCGUGAGUGAAGAAGGUUUUCGGAUCGUAAAACUCUGUUGUUAGAGAAGCGGUAUCUAACCAGAAAGCCACGGCUAACUACGUGCCAGCAGCCGCGGUAAUAC
rnacentral:rRNA from 1 species